GUCGCUGAUGGUGUAGGGGUGAAGCACGCGACCAUGUGCAGAGGCUGUAGUCCUCAAGGCGGCUGUCCCGGGUUCGAGUCCCGGACCCAGUGACA